AACGAACGUUGGCGGCGUGCCUAACACAUGCAAGUCGAGCGCGGGCAGGACUUCGGUCCUGUUCCGAGCGGCGCACGGGUGAGUAACACGUGAGUAACCUGCCUCGAAGUUUGGGAUAACCGCCCGAAAGGGUGGCUAAUACCGGAUAAGCCCCCACUGGCACAGGCCGAGAGAGGGAAAAGGACCUUGGCGGCUUCGAGAUGGGCGUCGCGUCCCAUUAGCUAGUUGGUGAGGUAACGGCUCACCAAGGCGAAGAUGGGUAGGCUGGUCUGAGAGGAUGAUCAGCCACACUGGAACUGAGACACGGUCCAGACUCCUACGGGAGGCAGCAGUGGGGAA
rnacentral:rRNA from 1 species